rnacentral:rRNA from 1 species
GGACUACUAGGGUAUCUAAUCCCUUUCGCUCCCCUGGCUUUCGUUCCUCAGCGUCAGUUACGGCCCAGUAUCGCGCUUUCGCCACCGGUGUUCCUCCUGAUAUCUACGCAUUUCACCGCUACACCAGGAAUUCCCGAUACCUCUACCGUACUCUAGUCACCCAGUUUCCAAUGCCAUGCCGAAGUUGAGCUUCGGGCUUUAACACCAGACUUAAGUAACCACCUACGAACUCUUUACGCCCAAUAAUUCCGGACAACGCUUGCAUCCUACGUCUUACCGCGGCUGCUGGCAC